AUUGAACGCUGGCGGCAGGCCUAACACAUGCAAGUCGAACGAGUGGCGGACGGGUGAGUAAUGUCUGGGAAACUGCCCGAUGGCGGGGGAUAACUACUGGAAACGGUAGCUAAUACCGCAUACCAUCGGAUGUGCCCAGAUGGGAUUAGUUAGUGGGUGGGGUAAAGGCUCACCUAGGCGACGAUCCCUAGCGGGUGUGAGAGGAUGACCGGCAACACGGGAACUGGGACAGGGUCCAGACUCUUAGGGGAGGCAGCGGAGGGGAAUAUUGGACAAGGAGGGCAAGCCUGAUGCAGCAAUGCCGCUUGUAUGAAGAAGGCCUUCGGGUUGUAAAGUACUUUCAGCGGGGAGGCGUUAACCACAGAAGAAGCACCGGCUAACUAUGUGCCAGCAGCCGCGGUAAUUC
rnacentral:rRNA from 1 species